UCCAUUGGUUGGAGUCUCCCUCUUGCUCUGUGCGCUGCAAAAAGUGUCUAUCUUUAUAGAUGGGCUUGCUUAAAUCACGUUUUCUUUCUGGGGGGGCGGGGGGGUCCAGUUAUUUCUAAUAUAAGGAUGUUUAUUUUCAAUACGCUUAGAUGACACCAUUCAUUUGUUUAUUUUAUUUUAUCAACACAAAUGUUCCUUCUAAAGGACGUCUCAUUUUAUUUAUUUAUGUAUUUAUUAGUAUUAUUUUUUACUCAUCUAUUGGACAAAUUCAUCACUUCCACCGAAGCGUCUCAAUCUUCCGUGAUUGUGGACAUUUUUUGCAGCGUUGCCAUCUCACCACUGGGGGCUCUCUUUUUCUUCUUUUUUAUUUUCUGUAUUUUUGACAGCCACAAUUUACAUGGACCUCGCUCACUCCUUCGCCGCUAUUUACUUUGAAACCUGAUUAGUAUGGCUCGUCCAUUGUGGCCAAAAGGGAGACAGACGUAGGAAGAACCCCCGGAUAGAAAACGUGCAGGAAAAAAAAAAAAAAAAGGCUGGGGGGUGACAAAGCUUUUACGCACGCCAAAUAAUCCACUCAAAUUGCGGGACGGAAGUGGUGGUCUUGGACUGGUGUCUUUAUUCCAAAAUGUGUCAUGCUUAGGAUGGAAGCUCGUGCAUGUGUGGGAGCUUCGGCAUGCAUGCGCAUUGCGGUACACGCGCUGGAGAAACGCUCCGGUGUAGCUGAUUGAAACUUACAUUGUGCCGUGAAAGAAACACGUGAGGAUGCAAUUAGAAGAAUUCUGCAUUCAAACAACGCGUGUUAACAAAAAUGGCAUGCAAAGAUGUCAUCAUAAAGAGAGGAAAAAAAGGGGGGGGGGGGAAUACAGCAAUUAGCCGGGUCCCUUCUUGUGACUAAUGACAUAGCCGGUGUCACAUAAUGUCUUCAUAAUGACGCUCAUUGACAAUCAUGUGAACUUAUUUGGGGAAUUUGCAUGGGGAUUCCGGCUUUUUGUGUGAGGAUUUCUGCAGGCUUUCUCCCCCUGUGAGUCGGAAAAAAAAUGGAUCGCGCUGCCAUCUAGCGUACAUUGUACAAUUACAACCUCCAUAGGAGCCAAUGCACGAGUAUGAAAGAUUGAUUUUUAAGAGCAGAUUUUAACUUGGUGCUUUUCAAAGCUCUCACGAAUAAUAAACAUCUAACUGGUCAUGUCUGUAACAUUAAUAGUAUGAAUGAUAGAAUUGCGAAAUUGUAGUAAAGAUGAGUCAAAAGAACACGCAAGAAUAUAUGAAUACUAAUAUUUGUGUCUUUGACAUGGAAAGAGAAAAUCAUAUUUAAUACAACUGCACAGCGCGGCAGAAUCCUAUCAGUUAUUAUAAUCAGUUUUCAUUGGAAAUAAAUAAAUGAACUCUUAAAUGGAAGUCCUUGCACAGAAUUCUUUAGCACGCGGGCAUAUUUGUGUAUAAAUGGAGCUUAAAUAUGCAAGUGACCCUCUUUGGAAGCUCACAGGAGGGAUGGCGUGUUUUUUCCCCUUUCUUUAAAGUAUUCAACAAGAGAGCUCCCUCUCCUUGUCUCCUUCUCGGACAACUCCAAUGAAAACUCCCCGGCCAUGUCUGCAGCUCUUUCAAAAGGGGUACCGCGCGCAGGACGGGAGGCGAGCACACACGGAGGGGCAGCGAAUGGGGAGCAGAGCUGGGGGAAAGAAAAAAGGGAGAAAGUGGACCACAGUGGGGUAUUAGGGGGAGAAGCACCGUCGAUGGCGGUUUGCGUGGAGCACCGGCUUCCCGGCACAAGCAAAAAAAAAAA